rnacentral:SRP_RNA from 1 species
UCGUGCUAGGCGGGGAGCUAGCGGUGCCCUGUACCCGCGAUCCGCUUUAGCGGGGCUGAACUCCCUCCCGAGGCCGGCCCACCGCGGGUCCUGCUGGCGGUCAAGGCGUUGACGGCCGGGUCCUGUGCAGCAGCGGACCGCGAACCCCGUCAGAUCCGGAAGGAAGCAGCGGUAAGCGGGUCACCGCUGAGUGCCGCAGGGACACCUGGCUCGAGCUGAGGUCACCGGCGUGUUCGCUGUGGUCCGUUCGACGGAGGGUGCACGG